rnacentral:rRNA from 1 species
GAGGAAUAUUGGUCAAUGGACGGAAGUCUGAACCAGCCAAGUAGCGUGCAGGAUGACGGCCCUAUGGGUUGUAAACUGCUUUUGUAUGGGGAUAAAGUUAGGGACGUGUCCCUAUUUGCAGGUACCAUACGAAUAAGGACCGGCUAAUUCCGUGCCAGCAGCCGCGGUAAUACGGAAGGUCCAGGCGUUAUCCGGAUUUAUUGGGUUUAAAGGGAGCGUAGGCUGGAGAUUAAGUGUGUUGUGAAAUGUAGACGCUCAACGUCUGAAUUGCAGCGCAUACUGGUUUCCUUGAGUACGCACAACGUUGACGGAAUCCGUCGUGUAGCGGUGAAAUGCUUAGAUAUGACGAAGAACUCCGAUUGCGAAGGCAGCUGACGGGAGCGCAACUGACGCUUAAGCUCGAAGGUGCGGGUAUCAAACAGGAUUAGAUACCCUGGUAGUCCGCACAGUAAACGAUGGAUGCCCGCUGUUGGUACCUGGUAUCAGCGGCUAAGCGAAAGCAUUAAGCAUCCCACCUGGGGAGUACGCCGGCAACGGUG